rnacentral:rRNA from 1 species
UACGGAGGGAGCAAGCGUUACUCGGAAUUAUUGGGCGUAAAGGGCGCGUAGGCGAUCCUGUAAGUCUCGUGUGAAAUCCCAGGGCUUAACCCUGGAAUGGCAUGAGAAACUGCUGGAUUUGAGUUCCGGAGAGGAAGGCAGAAUUCCCGGUGUAGCGGUGAAAUGCGUAGAUAUCGGGAGGAAUACCAGUGGCGAAGGCGGCCUUCUGGACGGAUACUGACGCUGAGGCGCGAAAGCCAGGGGAGCAAACGGG